rnacentral:rRNA from 1 species
UGCAAGUCGAACGAAUCCCGACGCUGUAGCAAUACAGUGAAGGGGGAAGUGGCGAAAGGGGCAGUAAUGCGUGGGUAACCUACCUCCGGGACGUGGAUAGCCAUUCUAACGAGUGGGUAAUACGCGGCGAUUUGAUUGAGGGGCAUCCCUUGGUCAGGAAAUGAAUUUCGCCUGGAGAGGGGCUCACGUGAUAUUAGCUAGUUGGUGGGGUAACGGCCCACCAAGGCAAAGAUGUCUAGCGGGUGUGAGAGCACGACCCGCGCCACUGGCACUGAGACACUGGCCAGACACCUACGGGUGGCUGCAGUCGAGGAUCUUUGGCAAUGAGCGCAAGCUUGACCAAGCGACGCCGCGUGUGCGAUGAAGGCCUUCGGGUUGUAAAGCACUGUCGAGGGGGACGAAGCCGAAAGGUUGACCGAUCCCUGGAGGAAGCACGGGCUAAGUUCGUGCCAGCAGCCGCGGUAAGACGAACCGUGCGAACGUUGUUCGGAAUCACUGGGCUUAAAGGGCGCGUAGGCGGCUUGCCAAGUCAGUGGUGAAAUCCCGCAGCUUAACUGCGGAAGUGCCUUUGAUACUGGCGAGCUCGAGGGAGGUAGGGGUAUGUGGAACUUCUGGUGGAGCGGUGAAAUGCGUUGAUAUCAGAAGGAACGCCGGUGGCGAAAGCGACGUACUGGACCUCUUCUGACGCUGAGGCGCGAAAGCUAGGGGAGCAAACGGGAUUAGAUACCCCGGUAGUCCUAGCCCUAAACGUUGGGUACUAGGUUGUGGACUAACAUGGGUUCACAG